GACGGGGGGUCCAAGCGUUGUUCGGAAUUAUUGGGCGUAAAGCGGGUGUAGGUGGCUUUGUAAGUCAGAAGUGAAAGCCCUGGGCUCAACUUGGGAAUUGCAGUGGAUACUGGCAGGCUGGAGUACGGUAGAGGAAGGUGGAAUUCCCGGUGUAGCAGUGAAAUGCGUAGAUAUCGGGAGGAACACCAGUGGCGAAGGCGGCCUUCUGGACCAGUACUGACGCUCAUGCACGAAAGCGUGGGGAGCAAACAGG
rnacentral:rRNA from 1 species